rnacentral:rRNA from 1 species
CCUACGGGGGGCAGCAGUGGGGGAUAUUGGACAAUGGGGGAAACCCUGAUCCAGCGACGCCGCGUGAGUGAAGAAGUAUUUCGGUAUGUAAAGCUCUAUCAGCAGGGAAGAAAGAAAUGACGGUACCUGAGUAAGAAGCCCCGGCUAACUACGUGCCAGCAGUCGCGGUAAUACGUAGGGGGCAAGCGUUAUCCGGAUUUACUGGGUGUAAAGGGAGCGUAGACGGCGAUGCAAGUCUGAAGUGAAAGGCGGGGGCCCAACCCCCGGACUGCUUUGGAAACUGUAUGGCUGGAGUGCAGGAGAGGUAAGUGGAAUUCCUAGUGUAGCGGUGAAAUGCGUAGAUAUUAGGAGGAACACCAGUGGCGAAGGCGGCUUACUGGACUGUAACUGACGUUGAGGCUCGAAAGCGUGGGGAGCAAACAGGAUUAGAUACCCUAGUAGUC